AGGAUCGGGUUUGGAUUCGGACCUGGUCACCCGGGCACAGCACAGUGACUCACUUGAAAGGCAAGGAGCGUCACCGCUUUCGGGAAAGAAUCAAACCACCCACCCCGCCGCCGCCGAGUUUCGGCCGAACCGAGAGCGCAUCCCGCGGGCUCGGCGUACGUGCGCCGUCGACGGCACGGCCGGCCGCACCCAGCGCUCGGCCAGUCCCCACCGCGGGCGUCUGCUCGGAAGAUGAAAUCUGUGCUGGACAGACUCAUGGCGACAUGACUAUCGGUUGAUGUUAUUGGCAUUCACAGAUAUAAUCACAGGAAAAUGCAGUCUCUGCAGUUCCAGAAAAGGGUAGGAUUCCUUAAGUAGGCCUUCCCUACAUGUUCCCUUAGCAGAAGAGCACAAGCUCACUUUCAACGGCACUGAAAAGAAGCAUGUUCAGAUUUGAAUUACCUAUUCUAGCAACGUUGUUGCCCUGGUCAAAAUCCAUUUCCUGCUUCCUUUGAACACUUGCUUCUCAGUGGUCAGUGCCAUGAUGUAAGAGCUAAUGGUAGGGGCUAUCAGGUACCCGGUCGUCACAGUAGCAUAAUGUAAGCUCUAAUAAAACCCGGCCUGUGCGGGAAAGACAGCUCCGGCGGUAUUUUUAGAAGGCAAGAAACCCCCCGAAUGCGCCACACGGCUGCUCAACCUCAGACGGAGAGUAAUAAACCCGGACGGAGAAACUGGUAGGAAAGCGAGUCCUGAAAUGGGCCACGCCCCGAGGAGGUUGGUCUCUGCCCUCUAUGUAAAGCCACCAUGGGUGCCAAUUGAAGUGAGAAUCGGUCAGAAGUGGAGACGAGCAAAUGUUUUAAGGCAAGCUGAUCGCAGGGGACUCUGUCUUGUGAGCAUCAGAGGGCCGGCGCCCGAGUCUGACCCUAUAAUGGUACCGCUAUCAACGAUCCGGAUACCUUCCGACCCACCUGUCGCCAGAAAAAGACCAGACACUCGCCCUAAUUUCCGAGUGAAGAAGCCCAGGGACGCUGGUGACGCCGCCGAAGGCAGCAGCGAGUAGGCUGCUGGCUCACUGUUCAAGUGUUCAUUCACUGUGUGAUAGCUUAUGCUUGAUCUGUAUGUAAGUUGGAAAAGAAGUCUUUUUCUUCUUCAUGGACAGAUGCUGUGAUGUGUGAUUCUGUAUGAAACAAAUUUGUCUGAACGUACCAACUGCAGUUCAGACUUGCUUUAUUGUCAGUAAAAUCAGGGGUUCAAGGCA